UUAAGUGGGAAACGAUGUGGGAAGGCUUAGACAGCUAGGAGGUUGGCUUAGAAGCAGCCACCCUUUAAAGAAAGCGUAAUAGCUCACUAGUCGAGUCGGCCUGCGCGGAAGAUAUAACGGGGCUCAAACCAUACACCGAAGCUACGGACGCUGUUUACAGCGUGGUAGAGGAGCGUUCUGUAAGCCGUUGAAGGGAAAGCUGUAAGGCAUCCUGGAGGUAUCAGAAGUGCGAAUGCUGACAUGAGUAACGAUAAG
rnacentral:rRNA from 1 species